rnacentral:rRNA from 1 species
GACGAACGCUGGCGGCGUGCUUAACACAUGCAAGUCGAGCGAUGAAGUUCCUUCGGGAACGGAUUAGCGGCGGACGGGUGAGUAACACGUGGGCAACCUGCCUCAAAGUGGGGGAUAGCCCUCCGAAAGGAGGAGUAAUACCGCAUAAAGUGUUUUAAUCGCAUGAUUAAAACAUCAAAGGAGUAAUCCGCUUUGAGAUGGGCCCGCGGCGCAUUAGCUAGUUGGUGAGGUAGAUGCUCACCAAGGCAACGAUGCGUAGCCGACCUGAGAGGGUGAUCGGCCACAUUGGGACUGAGACACGGCCCAGACUCCUACGGGAGGCAGCAGUGGGGAAUAUUGCGCAAUGGACGAAAGUCUGACGCAGCAACGCCGCGUGAGUGAUGAAGGCCUUCGGGUUGUAAAGCUCUGUCUUCUGGGACGAUAAUGACUGUACCAGAGGAGGAAGCCACGGCUAACUACGUGCCAGCAGCCGCGGUAAUACGUAGGUGGCAAGCGUUGUCCGGAUUUACUGGGCGUAAAGAAUGCGUAGGCGGAUGUUUAAGUGGGAUGUGAAAUACCCGGGCUCAACUUGGGUGCUGCAUUCCAAACUAAAUAUCUAGAGUGCAGGAGAGGAAAGUGGAAUUCCUAGUGUAGCGGUGAAAUGCGUAGAGAUUAGGAAGAACACCAGUGGCGAAGGCGACUUUCUGGACUGUAACUGACGCUGAGGCAUGAAAGCGUGGGGAGCAAACAGGAUUAGAUACCCUGGUAGUCCACGCCGUAAACGAUGGGUACUAGGUGUCGGGGGUCGAACCUCGGUGCCGCAGUUAACACAUUAAGUACCCCGCCUGGGGAGUACGGUCGCAAGAUUAAAACUCAAAGGAAUUUGACGGGGGCCGCACAAGCAGCGGAGCAUGUGGGUUUAAUUCGAAGCGACGCGAAGAACCUUACCUGGACUUGACAUCCCAAGAAU